rnacentral:rRNA from 1 species
UACGUAGGGUGCAAGCGUUAAUCGGAAUUACUGGGCGUAAAGCGUGCGCAGGCGGUGAUGUAAGACAGUUGUGAAAUCCCCGGGCUCAACCUGAGAACUGCAUUUGUGACUGCAUGGCUAGAGUACGGUAGAGGGGGGAUGGAAUUCCGCGUGUAGCAGUGAAAUGCGUAGAUAUGCGGAGGAACACCGAUGGCGAAGGCAAUCCCCUGGACCUGUACUGACGCUCAUGCACGAAA